GGGGAUAUAGCUCAUUUGGUAGAGUUCUUGCCUCACAUGCAUAAGGCCCUGGGUUCAAUCCCCAGCACCA
rnacentral:tRNA from 1 species